rnacentral:rRNA from 1 species
UACGAAGGGGGCUAGCGUUGCUCGGAAUCACUGGGCGUAAAGCGCACGUAGGCGGCUUUCUAAGUCAGGGGUGAAAUCCUGGAGCUCAACUCCAGAACUGCCUUUGAUACUGUGCGACUAGAGUGCAGAAGGGGCAACUGGAAUUCUCGGUGUAGCGGUGAAAUGCGUAGAUAUCGAGAGGAACACCUGCGGCGAAGGCGGGUUGCUGGGCUGACACUGACGCUGAGGCGCGAAAGCGUGGGGAGCAAACAGG